rnacentral:misc_RNA from 1 species
GCUGUCGAGCGAAGCGAGGCUGCGAUCUUUUGAUCUUUCGCUUCGAACUCAAUUGGCAGCGGAAAGAUCGCAGCCUCGCUUCGCUCGACAGC